rnacentral:rRNA from 1 species
AACGAACGCUGGCGGCAGGCUUAACACACGCAAGUCGAGCGCCCCGCAAGGGGAGCGGCAGACGGGUGAGUAACGCGUGGGAAUCUACCCAUCUCUACGGAAUAACGCAUGGAAACGUGUGCUAAUACCGUAGACGUCCUUCGGGAGAAAGAUUUAUCGGAGAUGGAUGAGCCCGCGUUGGAUUAGCUAGUUGGUGGGGUAAAGGCCUACCAAGGCGACGAUCCAUAGCUGGUCUGAGAGGAUGAUCAGCCACACUGGGACUGAGACACGGCCCAGACUCCUACGGGAGGCAGCAGUGGGGAAUAUUGGACAAUGGGCGCAAGCCUGAUCCAGCCAUGCCGCGUGAGUGAUGAAGGCCCUAGGGUUGUAAAGCUCUUUCACCGGUGAAGAUAAUGACGGUAACCGGAGAAGAAGCCCCGGCUAACUUCGUGCCAGCCGCCGCCGUAAUAC